rnacentral:lncRNA from 1 species
CACAGAAGGAGCUCAUGGACUGUAGUCUCAUCUCUCAACUCCUCCUAACACUGGUGAAUGCUGCUGUGUGUCUUCACUUGGAAGUCAUUUUGACUAUUUCAAAAGUGGCAUUUGUAAGGACAGAGGACGCUUUGUCAUGUUUCCUCUCGGGUUUCAGGAGUUUGAGGCUGGAGCACUAGGCUGAUUCAGUGAGAGAGGGUUUCAUGUAGCCCAGGGUAGCCUCAAAAUCACUCUGCAGCUGAGGAUGACCACCUGAGUGCCAGGAUUAUAGCCAUGUGUUUGCACGGUCCUGGGGACUGAACCGGCAGGGGGUCAUGUGUUCUGGCCAAGCACUCUACUGACUGAGCCAUGUCUGUGAGCCCCAGUGAUGGACAGAUCUGGAAACUAGCUCCAAGGACGGUAUGGCAUGGGUGUGUCUC